rnacentral:rRNA from 1 species
UACAGAGGUCCCAAGCGUUGUUCGGAUUCACUGGGCGUAAAGGGUGCGUAGGUGGCAAGGUAAGUUUGAUGUGAAAUCUCCGGGCUUAACCCGGAAACUGCAUUGAAUACUAUCUCGCUYGAGAGUUGGAGGGGAGACUGGAAUACUUGGUGUAGCAGUGAAAUGCGUAGAUAUCAAGUGGAACACCAGUGGCGAAGGCGAGUCUCUGGACAACUUCUGACACUGAGGCACGAAAGCUAGGGGAGCAAACAGGRUUAGAUACCCUGGUAGUCCUAGCCGUAAACGGUGCAUAUUUGCUGUAAAAGGAAUCGACCCCUUUUGUGGCGUAGCCAACGCGUUAAAUAUGCCGCCUGGGAAGUACGGUCGCAAGAUUAAAACUCAAAG